rnacentral:lncRNA from 1 species
AGUUGCCCUGUCUUGGAAAGCACGAUUGCACAUAAACUGCAGCAUCAUGUGCAUAAAACAGGAUUGCCAAAGCUACAAUCUCAAGUGUGAGGAAAACGGAGCUCACAGCACCAAAUAUUUCCUGCUGUUUGGAGGCUGAUUCUGACCUACAGCAGGCAUGGUAAGACUUGUCAAGUUCUUCCUCAUAUCUGGCUAU